ACCCGUUAGGUGAGGCUCCUAUAUGAACAUAAGCUGCUGCUCAGAAACAUCUAGAGAUGCCAAUGAGUUAAGCGAAAUUGCCCAUUAAGGCUCUUUCUAAUGUAGCUGAAUUUAUUUUCUACGUCAUAUAGUGCUAAAACUCAACGAUGGGGA
rnacentral:sRNA from 1 species